UUCCCCUGCUCUGGCCGAUUUCCAUGGCCGCCGGCGCUGCUAUCGGGUCUCGCCGCCUCCUCCACCACCUCCCUCCGCCCCACUCCGAGUUCGGAGGCGACGCUCGCCUCCUUCGCAAGCGCAGUACCAAGCCCGUCCCAGGAGGUAGCCCCAGGCCCAGGCCAAACUAGCUUCCUCUCCUCUCUCCUGCGUGGCCGCAGCGACCCCCGAGGCUCCACAGCUGAACCAAGUUGAAAUAGCUGAAGGUGCACUAGGAAACCUUGUUGAGCUAGAGCUUUCUUACUGUCCGAAACUGAAGCGUGUUCUCAUGGCGUCAGGUUCCUUAGAGCCCUUGAGGAAUUACAUUUGAUAGAUACUGCAGAUGAGUUUAUAGAGAUGCUUAGGAAGGAACCUGAAGCAAAGGAAUGGAAGGAAGAACUUAUGAAGAUUGGACACAUUAGAAAGGUUAUCGUUGAAUCAACUGAGAAAAACUUUUGGCGAAGGAUUGUUGUUUCCACAAGAGGGAAUGAAUUUGCUGGCUGAAGGCUUGGAUGCUAGCCGCUAUUCCCAGAGUCUACGUACGAGGUUGCUGGCUUUGGUGGUUCCGUUCAGUGGUUACUGAACAUGCAUUGUUCUAGCGACCACAGGGGCCAUUGGGGCAUAGCCGCAUACGACAUUUACUCAUACAAAAUUAGUUUGCAAAUUAAGCACGGUGUUGAUCUAAAAAUAUAAACUUGUGCUUGCUCGCAUUGAGUUUCUGUUAUUCUGCUCGGGGUCUCAGGAGUGGAUUCUGGAUUGGCUUGAUGUCCUUGGGGCGAGGCAUCUCCCAGGUGUUAAACUUGCGGAGACUUUACUCUUUUUUUUUUGUGUGUGUGCAGCCAAAAGUUUAAAUUUCAAUCAGUAAUAUGUUUAUGUUUAUAAUAAUUUGAUCAGAUAAAUGGAAUGGAAUGUGCUAAAUGAUUUAUCUAGGUUUCAAAACUAAAUUGUAGUAGAAACGUACUGUCAAAUUCGUACCCUUUGUGUCAAUGAUUUUUUUUUUGGACAGUUUUCAAUGCAAUGCGCCUUGGAUAUGGAACACAAAGAAGGCAGACAUCAAAAACAUGCUAGUACUUUCUUUCAUAUAAGGAAGUUGAGGGUUCGGAAGAGUAGCGUCACUGCAUCAGUACCGAGUUGUUGGAUUGCUCGGAUUGCCCAUAGUGGUUUGACUUUGAAUUUCCAUAUUCAGAAGCGGUCCAUCAAGAAUGAUCCAGUGCAAGUAUGGUUGCCAAAAACACAAUUUUUUUGGCCGAAAUCACAAUUCUGUUAUACUAUUGCACGUCUUUGCGGUCAUGAUUGAAGGGCAUGAUUCUACUCUCCCGCUAUUUUAUUUUUUGAUCAGGGCAUGAUUCUACUAUUCUAGUAAAUGAAGUACACGUUUGUAUGAUUCUUAACUUUUAUGUUUA